rnacentral:rRNA from 1 species
UAAGAGCUUGCUCUUAUGAAGUUAGCGGCGGACGGGUGAGUAACACGUGGGUAACCUGCCCAUAAGACUGGGAUAACUCCGGGAAACCGGGGCUAAUACCGGAUAACAUUUUGAACCGCAUGGUUCGAAAUUGAAAGGCGGCUUCGGCUGUCACUUAUGGAUGGACCCGCGUCGCAUUAGCUAGUUGGUGAGGUAACGGCUCACCAAGGCAACGAUGCGUAGCCGACCUGAGAGGGUGAUCGGCCACACUGGGACUGAGACACGGCCCAGACUCCUACGGGA